GGAAGUAAAAGUCGUAACAAGGUCUCCGUAGGUGAACCUGCGGAGGGAUCAUUACACAAAUAUGAAGGCGGGCUGGAACCUCUCGGGGUUACAGCCUUGCUGAAUUAUUCACCCUUGUCUUUUGCGUACUUCUUGUUUCCUUGGUGGGUUCGCCCACCAAUAGGACAAACAUAUAAACCUUUUGUAAUUGCAAUCAGCGUCAGUAACAAAUUAAUAAUUACAACUUUCAACAACGGAUCUCUUGGUUCUGGCAUCGAUGAAGAACGCAGCGAAAUGCGAUAAGUAGUGUGAAUUGCAGAAUUCAGUGAAUCAUCGAAUCUUUGAACGCACAUUGCGCCCUUUGGUAUUCCAAAGGGCAUGCCUGUUCGAGCGUCAUUUGUACCCUCAAGCUUUGCUUGGUGUUGGGCGUCUUGUCUCUAGCUUUGCUGGAGACUCGCCUUAAAGUAAUUGGCAGCCGGCCUACUGGUUUCGGAGCGCAGCACAAGUCGCACUCUCUAUCAGCAAAGGUCUAGCAUCCAUUAAGCCUUUUUUUCAACUUUUGACCUCGGAUCAGGUAGGGAUACCCGCUGAACUUAAGCAUAUCAAUAAGCGGAGGAAU
rnacentral:rRNA from 1 species